UACGUAGGGUGCAAGCGUUGUCCGGAAUUAUUGGGCGUAAAGAGCUCGUAGGCGGUUUGUCGCGUCGGCUGUGAAAACUGGAGGCUUAACCUUCAGCGUGCAGUCGAUACGGGCAGACUUGAGUUCGGUAGGGGAGACUGGAAUUCCUGGUGUAGCGGUGAAAUGCGCAGAUAUCAGGAGGAACACCUGAGGUGAAGACGGGUUGCUGGGCCGACACUGACGCUGACAGCGCGAAAGCCAGGGGAGCAAACGGG
rnacentral:rRNA from 1 species